rnacentral:rRNA from 1 species
AUUGAACGCUGGCGGCAUGCUUUACACAUGCAAGUCGAACGGUAACAGGCCGCAAGGUGCUGACGAGUGGCGGACGGGUGAGUAAUGCAUCGGAACGUGCCCAGUCGUUGGGGAUAACUACUCGAAAGAGUAGCUAAUACCGCAUACGAUCUAUGGAUGAAAGCGGGGGACCGUAAGGCCUCGCGCGAUUGGAGCGGCCGAUGUCAGAUUAGUUAGUUGGUGGGGUAAAGGCUCACCAAGCCAACGAUCUGUAGCUGGUCUGAGAGGACAACCAGCCACACUGGGACUGAGACACGGCCCAGACUCCUACGGGAGGCAGCAGUGGGGAAUUUUGGACAAUGGGCGCAAGCCUGAUCCAGCAAUGCCGCGUGCAGGAAGAAGGCCUUCGGGUUGUAAACUGCUUUUGUACGGAACGAAACGGCUCUGGUUAAUACCCGGGGCUAAUGACGGUACCGGAAGAAUAAGCACCGGCUAACUACGUG